rnacentral:lncRNA from 1 species
GCACUAGAAUGGGAACACAUGAAUAUUCAUUAAAAAAAUGAUGAUCUUGCAUGUGCGAUGAUUGGUAAAAAAGAUAUAUUUUGCACAUGGCAAAAGAUAUAUCGUUUGACAAAUGAUUGGAGAUAGUAAUUUCAUAUCAUUCUCUACAUCUAUGCAUUUACAUAUAUUUUUGGAAACACUAAAAAAUAAAAAAAAACUAUCAAACCCAAGCUGAAACGGUUCUUGAAAUUUUAGUGCUACAGUUUUGCAGUUUAAGGUUCACCAACAAUGCAUGCCUCAAGGUAUUCAGAAUUAGAUGCGCAUUGAUUUUUUUUUAAAAAUAGAUGCACGUUGAUUUUUCCUAUAAACAGGUGCACAAUUGCACUCUUUUUUAACAUGCAUUGCACUCAUUUUUGUUGUUGCAAAUACACCCUAAUUAAUGUGUUUAACAAAAUAAAAUUCCAUUGUAUAUUAACAGCGGUGAUAGAACAUUGAGGAUAGUAGCUAGUGAACGUUAAGAAUAAAAUUAAAACAUGAAUAUAACCCUUUGUUCCAUGUGCUCGUAAAUUUUAAUCUACCGCGGAGUGACUGG